rnacentral:rRNA from 1 species
UACGUAGGGUCCGAGCGUUGUCCGGAAUUACUGGGCGUAAAGAGCUCGUAGGUGGUUUGUCGCGUUGUUCGUGAAAACUCACAGCUCAACUGUGGGCGUGCGGGCGAUACGGGCAGACUAGAGUACUGCAGGGGAGACUGGAAUUCCUGGUGUAGCGGUGGAAUGCGCAGAUAUCAGGAGGAACACCGGUGGCGAAGGCGGGUUCCUGGGCAGUAACUGACGCUGAGGAGCGAAAGCGUGGGGAGCGAACAGG